rnacentral:rRNA from 1 species
GACGAACGCUGGCGGCGUGCCUAAUACAUGCAAGUCGAACGCUUCUUUCCUCCCGAGUGCUUGCACUCGAUUGGAAAGAGGAGUGGCGGACGGGUGAGUAACACGUGGGUAACCUACCCAUCAGAGGGGGAUAACACUUGGAAACAGGUGCUAAUACCGCAUAACAGUUUAUGCCGCAUGGCAUAAGAGUGAAAGGCGCUUUCGGGUGUCGCUGAUGGAUGGACCCGCGGUGCAUUAGCUAGUUGGUGAGGUAACGGCUCACCAAGGCCACGAUGCAUAGCCGACCUGGGGGGGUGAUCGGCCACACUGGGACUGAGACACGGCCCAGACGCCUACGGGAGGCAGCAGUAGGGAAUCUUCGGCAAUGGACGAAAGUCUGACCGAGCAACGUCGCGUGAGUGAAGAAGGUUUUCGGAUCGUAAAACUCUGUUGCUAGAGAAGAACAAGGACGUUAGUAACUGAACGUCCCCUGACGGUAUCUAACCAGAAAGCCACGGCUAACUACGUGCCAGCCGCCGCCGUAA